AGGGGAACAUUUAGGAGGCGGACUAGUAAACAUUACAGGCGUGGGUAGUGCAGCUCACGUCUACAGCUUUGCUUUGCGUGUGACUUACAGGCAUGGAUCCAGGAAAUGUGAGAGCAGCUGAGUUCAGAGAGCCUACCACCACUCCACAGGCUGAUCUUUUUACACAAUUCUAUCAGUUUUUCCUUUAUUUCUACAUGUCAACUCAUCAGCUCGUCAGAUAAGCUUUAUUGAAGAUAUGAAAAUACUAUUUCUCUCCCCGCUCCGCCCCCAAACUGGGAACCACUCAACAGCUGAGAGAAUAAGGUCCCACAUUGAAUCAGCUGGACACACUUGUGAGCUCAGAGAUGUAGCAGAUUUUCAGUCUCCUGCUGAGGUGGCAAACCUUGUAUCUCGAAAUCCUCCAUUUGACGCUGCACUGGCCAUCCAUCUGUUUAAAGCUGGCAGGCUUCUCUUAGACAUCCAAGUGCCCUUUGGUGUUAUCUCUGGAGGAACAGACUUAAAUGAAGAUGUGAAAGUUGAGCAGAAGCGUGUGGUUAUGGAGCAGGUGCUGCUGAAAGCCAGGUUUGCUGUUGCAUUUACUGACAAACUAAAAGAAGAGGCUGAGCAAUUUCUGCUGUCCUCGAGCAGUAAGAUCUAUGUCCAGCCCCAAGGUGUCUACACAGAAGCAUCUGAAAACUUCUGCUGGACUGAAUUCUUGAGGAGCUCAGGUGUAAGCAGUGAGUGUGGGGAUGAGCUGCGUGUUUUCCUGUUGGUCUGUGGCCUCAGGAGAGUCAAGGACCCCCUCUAUCUGUUGGAGGUUUUUUCAGAGUGGCAUUGUGAAGAUCCGCUGAAUGUUUUGGUCAUCGUGGGGCCAAAGGUGAGCUAAGAGUCAUUACACUAAAAGUCACAUCUGACCCUUUACAAUGAUGCUCUGUGCUGUAGGAAUAACCUACAGUAAGAACCUUCCCUGGCUAUCCAGGUGACCUCUAAUUGGAUGUAGCACAGAUACUGGCUUAACUCUUCAGCUGGAAUUAAAGGCCAUUGUGGGAGGAAAUGGCAUCUUCUGCAAUCAUGGCAAGGGUCAACAGCAGCAGCAACAGCAGUCGUCCUGUUUAUUUAUUAUUGUGUGUCCAACUGUUUAGCUAGCUGCUUUAGACACUGAUGUGUCCUCUGCUCCAGAUUAGUGCUUGGAUUUGACCAGUGACCUGUAUAGAAGGACCCCAUUUUAUUUAGUACACAUGGAUGGACAUUUUUCUGUGUCUGCUACAGCCAAAUCAGUAUGGAACACCAACACACCAUCAUGUCUCCAUCAUGCGUGUUAUUCCUGAGGACAUUGACCGCACACACACACACACACUGCGAGGCUUCACGUCAAGUCAAAUGAUUGAAAAAAUGCAAUAAGGCCCGCCAUGAUUUAUGAUGAUUCAUAAAUCAUGGCACACAAUCAAAUCAGACGAGGGAGUUUUUAUACAUUUGCUGUAAAAGUAUCUUUUUUUCUCUGAUUGCACUUUUAUGUUCUGUCUGCUCGAUGCUGCAGAAAGAAAGAUAGAAGUCACGUCCCACCAACCAGCAGCAGCCUCAGCGCUCUUACGACUGUUCCUCCUUUCCAAUCUCUCCCUCAUUGAUUUCUCUCUUCAUCUCCUCUUCCCCCUGACUUGCUUUGAUACCACAUCACUGUACAGUUUUUUAGCGUCUGUUCUGUCUUUCAAAUGGCGGUGUCAGGCAAAAGGUAUGUUCUGCUUUCGUUUUUUUUCUCAAAAAACUACUCAAUUAGACAUGGCCAGGGGCUCAUACAUGGUCGCACCGCUGCCGCUUCUCGCUGCGCUCCUGCUUUGUUGUUGUUUGAUGAAAUGGUUCAGUGGAAGCAGAGACGUGUGAUUCAUGCUGACACUCCUGAAUCAGAGUGGGAGCACGUUUGUUUGUUUGCCUGAGAAAUGAAAAGCCACACACUAUUAUUAUGAUAAACAUGUACUCGUACGAAGGCCACAUUUCCCCCUUGAUAAUUACAGGAUUCCACUUUUUGAUUUAACAUUAUUGAAGAUUCAAUGAAGUGGAAGUAAAAUCUGAAAAACAUAAACCAGCCUAUCAUGCGUACUUUAAAUCUACACCUACUUCAGUGGAGUAAUAAGCGCUGUGGCUGCACAGCAUCUGUCAUUAAGAGGAGAAUUCAGGUCAGUUUGUCAGCAAUGACACGUCACUCUCCUGUAACUGGGCUUUAUCAAGCACUACAAUAAUAGUGCAGCAUAUUCUGCUCUAUUACUGUACAAUAUGAAGGAUUAUUUUCAGUGUUUUAAUUUUUAAUGUUUGUAAGCUUUUGCACCAAAUGUUUGUUAAAAUAAGUCAAUAUGUGCUUAGAACCAAAAGAGCAAUGACAUUAUCAGAAAAAAGAGACAGACAAAUUCAGUUUAAAGAUAUAAAACAUUGAUAUAACAUCUGUUUUCCUUUUCUGACUCGUCAUUUGAUUCCCCCUCGAUUUCUGCCGAUUCACUGAGUGACAGUACAGGAUCAGUACAGUGCUUAAAUCAGUUGUUUAUUAAUACAGCCUUUAUCCUGAUACAUCCACACACUGGUUUUACAAUGUCCGCUAAAUCCCCAGAUUAGACCAGGAUACAAAAACUCUAGAUUCUUUGAAUUGAACAAACGACGCACUUUACAGUAGAGUCCUCUUGGAAAUUUCAUGAGUUAUAAAAUGAAAGAGGAAAAAAGUAGCAGCUUGCUUGGCAACAUCUUUGACCUAAAUUGCUAUGCUUUGACUUUUCUGUGGGCAGGCUAAUGCACGCAAAUCCCACACUGCAAUUAAUCAGAUUGGCCACCCACCCCACCCUGACCCCAAUCUCUGGAAAUAGAGGAUUUACAGAGAAUGAUUUGCCCAUGAUAGAAAUUAUUAAUUGUGUCAUUGUUUAUUUCAUCCUCCUGAUUAAGUCAUUGCUGGAAUCCUUGAUGAAAACACUGCUUUUUUUUCGAUGUUUAGAAAACAAGCUUCUCUUGUGUUUGUCAUGUGUCUGUCUCUCUCAGAUUGAUCCUGUGCUUACUGUUGACAUGGAAGCAGUUGUUCAAAGUCGAGGUGGAUCUCUCAGUUUUUUUUCGCCAGAGGCCUUCACCACAUCAAAGAUGUUUGCGGCAGGAAGCUGCCCUCUCUGAACAGCAGGGGUCUUCUUGGCCCAGGAGAGAGACCAGCAGGAGCUUCAUGCUGCCAUGAAAAGGUGCUUCGCCGUGGUCAACAGCUCUGUUUCAGAGGGCAUGUCAGCCUCCAUCUUGGAGGCCAUGGAUCUCGGGGUGCCAGUGUUGGCCCGGGACAUUCCUGGAAACGCAGCUGUAGUUCAACACGAGUUCACUGGCCUGCUGUACUCAUCUCCUCAGGAAUUUGUAAAUCAAUCUCAGAGGCUCCUGUCAGAUCACGAGCUGAGAGAGAGAGUGGUGAGGAACGGGAAACUCUAUGUGGAAGAACAUCACAGCCUGAAGCAGGAGAGAGAAACCUACCAGCAGCUGAUGGACUCUUUGCUUUGAGCUCAAGGUCACAGAAUUGAACCUCACUAUACUACUUUCUCAGGAACUUUACAAACAAAGAACAGGGCAUGAAACGGGUAGUUUUGUUUUUUGAAGUAGGGUUGUAUGAGUUUCUUUUCAAUAGUAAUUGUAUUAUUGACAGCGGAUGCUGAUCAGCUUGGCCCCUGUGUUGAUAAACCAGCUGGAGAACCAGAAUGGAAGCUGGGCUAUCAACCACUUCAGUCUGGGUCAACUCUACCUACAAUUUAGCUCUGUGCUAAUGCCCAUGAACCGAGAAAGUUUCUUGCUGUCACGAGUGGGGUUUGGUAAAGACAGUAUGUCAGGUCAUUUCUGAAUCAGAGGAUACCAGCAGCUCUCAUACAGCUACAGUCUGCAUCACCCACCAGAGUUCCCUGCCACACUGACCACUGCUGUUUUACUGACUGUCAACAAUUUUCAGAAGUUAAACCAGAAAACCAGAAAAGUCAAAUGGAAGUGUGUCUUCAAAGCAAGUUUUUGGCUCUCAUUGAUUAUUUUUUUUUGCAUAAUGGCAUAGCCCACGAUGUGUAUGAUCUGUUUAACUUAUCAAAACGCACUGUUAGCUGUUGAAGCGGGCAUCAGAUAAUGUAAUGGGCAAAAGUCAAGUUCACCAUAGACCCAAACAGCUGAUUGGUACACAGCAGGCAGACAAACAUAUGUGUGUUUUGUCCAUAAAUAGUGAAAAUUAAUGAGAUUUGACAACAAAGCACAGUACAAAAACAUGUCCAAAUGAAGUGUACACUUAUACCAACAUUAAUGUUUAGGUUGGAGUAAGUUAAAACUAGUAAUACUUAGCUACGUUCCCUGCUAGAGUUAACCCCGUCUGCAGCUUUUGAUAGCCUUCGUCUCAGUUCUCCAGUCAGUUUAUCAACAAAGGGGCCGAGCUGACCGGGUCUCUCUGGGUAAAAUACCUCAUCAGUAUGAACCUACUUCUAAAAAUAACUAAUUUCCCUUUAAACUAUUGUUUACCUAGCAGAAGUGUAACUAUCAAAGUUGUCUUAAGUCCUAGACUAUUUAAAAAAUCAGGUUACAAAGGUGCUUUUGUAAAAAAAAGCCUGUUUUAUCUGCACUGCCUUAUUGAAAUGAUGCAAAUAAACUGAAUGUACUUGGAA